AGUGAACGCUGGCGGCAGGCCUAACACAUGCAAGUCGAACGGCAGCACAGUAUUAGUUUGCUCUGCCGGGGGGGGAGUGGCGGACGGGACAGGGGAAUAUCCUAUUCUAUUUUUUAGUAGGGGGUCACGUAGGGACUCAUACGCCAAUAUCGCAUCUGAUGCACGCGGGGAAGCAGGGGAACUUCGGACCUUGCGCGAUUGAAUGAGCGGAUGUCGGGUUAGCUAGUUGGCGGGGUAAAGGCCCACCAAGGCGACGCUCGGUAGCUGGUCUGAGAGGAUGAUCAGCGACACUGGAACUGAGACACGGCCCAGACUCCUACGGGAGGCAGCAGUGGGGAAUAUUGGACAAUGGGCGCAAGCCUGAUCCAGCCAUACCGCGUGGGUGAAGAAGGCCUUCGGGUUGUAAAGCCCUUUUGCCGGGGAAGAAAAGCUUCAGGCUAAUACCCCGCGGGUGUGACGGUACCGGAAGAAUAAGCACCGGCUAACUUCGUG
rnacentral:rRNA from 1 species